AAUAAAAAAUAAAAAAAUCACAUAUUUUUUUCGUUUUAAAUUACUUGUAAUACUUUCUAUUUAUAGAUGUUUCAUAUUACUCGCUAUAUUACCCUUUUUGACAAAAGACAACUAUGUAAUUCUCUAUUUUACCCUUAUUUUAUUCAUAUCCCACAUAUCAUUAUCAAUUAUAUACUUUUACUUUAAUUACUUUAAUUUCCACUACCUAUUAUCUACAUUUAAUAACUCAAUAAACUUUUUUCCCAAAUGGCUAAAUAAUUAAAUUCAAUAAUUACCCCUCCAUAAAUAGAAUUACCAAAACUCUAACCCCUUUAUUAUUUACGGAUUUUAGAUGCUCAUCCUCACCUUUCUUUCCAUAAGAUUAAUCAAUCUUACUUCUGCCUCAAAACCCCUUCUUCCCUCAAUAUCACUCAUUUCUCCCUCCCUCUUAUAAACCCUAAAUCAGGUUCACUGUUUUAUCUUUAGGGGUUUUUACUUCUGUUGAUCAUUCCUUUUUAAUCAGUUUCAUUUUUCCUGCUCCAUUUCGUAUCAGUUUUUAAGGGUUUUUUCUUCAUCUUCAUCUUACCAGUUUUGUAAACAAUUUUUUUUGGGUUUAUUUUCAUCUUCAACUUUAUUUCGUAAUCAGUUCUGUAUUCAAGUUGAUCUUCAUGUUCAACGUUUUGGGGUUUUUAUUGGUUGAUUUUAUCUUUUCAUUUGAAUGAAAAAAAAGGAAGCUUUGAAGAAGAAGCAAAAUGGCUUUAACAGACAUUCACAUUCCCAAAUCCCGCCCAAAUAAACCCUAAAUCAACUCUCUCUUCUUCAUCCUCUCACUGAAACCGGCGGCCCUCUUACAAUACCAUCUGUUCUCCUCCAAUCCGGCGGGUAGAACACGUUCAUCUCCGGCAGCCUGUAAUACCGUAGGUACUUUCGGAUAGGAUUGAUCUUCCAUGUAUGCUUGUGAAAGGGAGUGUAUACAUAGGCAUUGAUGAGGGGGCUGUGAACUUGAUUAAAUUUGGUGAAGGAAGUAUCACGAAGAAACAAAUUUGUUGAUGAUGGAUCAAGGAGAGCUGUGAUUCGGAUUUAUAACAGUUCGAUUAACAAUCGGUUCGGGUUGGUAUCAGUUCGGGUUCAUAACAGUUCGAUUAAUAAUCGAUUCGGGUUUGUAUCAGUUCGGGUUAAAAACAAUUCGAUCUUAAUCGGUUUUAGUCAGGUUGCAUUCGGUUACGUGCAUAAUUCGGGUCGGAUUUGACUCGGGUCGAUCACUGUUCAGUUCGGGUAACAUCGGUUAAGGUUUAUAUGUCGGUUAUAAAAUUCGGUUGCAGUUCGACUUCGAUUUUGCCCUUUUCGGUUAUUAAACGGUUCGAGUGAAGUAUCGGUUCGGGUAAUUGCGGUUCGGUAAACCUAAAAAACUUACAUUUUUCGGGUCGGAUAAUUUUCGGUUCCGGGUCGGAUUUUCGGGUCGGGUUUGUUUUGAACAGCUCUAAAAACACACAAUACUUGUCAGAAAAAUGCAAAUGCUUCCCACAAAAUUUACUCUUUCCACUCCAAACCCAAAACCAUCCCACUAUCUCUCCUCCAUUAAUGCAAUCUCCACACUCUCUCUCCUCCCCAAACUCUCUUCCCUCUCUUUAAUCCACAACCACCUUCCUCCGUUCAGCAUCAUCCGUAUGGGUGGCGGUCCUAGAACUUUCCCAGGAGGCGUUUCAAAAUGGCAAUGGAAAAGAAUGCAAGCCAGGAAAGCCAAACAACUCCUUAAAGCUCGUUUAGCUCGUGAACGUCAAAUCUACGAAAUGCGUAAACGAGCUGAACUUAAAGCUGUUGUUUCAAAUCUUGAACGUCCAUGGGAAGUUGUUCAAAAGGAUGCUCUUAAAACUUCUUCUUCACUUUUCUCUGUUUCUGCUGACGAACAACUUAAGGUUUUAGCUGACCGAUUUCAGAAACCUGGUGGUUUUGAUUUGUGGUCUGAGAAUGAUGGGCCUCAGAUUUUUCAUACUCCUGAUGGUAAUUUGCCUUAUUCUAGGUUUUUCCCUAAAGGGGUUGUUCAUAGUAUUAAGCCUUAUGGUCAGAUUGAUGAAGGUAAAGGUGAAAAAUCGAGUAUUAAUCGAAGCCUUAAGGAUAGAAAUGGGAAGAAAUUGGAUAAUGGCGGUGGUAAAAAAGAUGAGAAUUUGUUGGGUUUGAAGGAAGGAAGAAGAAAGAUGAACUCUUCUUCUAAGAGCAAGGGUCGUUCUUAUGAUAGAAGAAGGAACUCAGAACAAGUAUGGGAAUUUAGAAGUAGUUCUAAUGGUGGAGAUGAUGUGUAUGAUAUGAGUUUGCAAGGUGAUGGUAGUUAUGAGUUUAGUGAUGAUGAUAAUGGUGGAAAAUUAGGGUUUUGAUGUAUUCUUGUUUAAGGAAUGCAAUUGCAUACAAUUAUGUAUUGAUUAUACAAAGAAAGUCAAAGGGGGUAAUAGCAAGAUCCUGUGAAGAUUAAGGUGCGUAAAGUCCUAAUUAAGUGCGUGGAGAUAAGAGCUUCUUGGUGAGUGAACUCAACUGAGUUUUUAUCCAUGAUUGGUAGACCGGUUUAUAUCCUUUCAUUUUGAUGCAAUAUCCAUUGGAGGGUCCACUAAAUUCAUGCAUCCAAUCAUCUUGAUUGGAUUCUUAGAUUCAUUGGCCUAAUCCUUGGGUCCUAUUCGGUGCAAAUUGGCCAAUGCUUUCGUCAACUUUGUGCUGCUCAAUGGUGGUCAGAUUUGGUGCUGAAAUGGGUUUUAGCUGUGGAGAUAGCACAAUCCCUGAUGAUAUAGAUUAAAUUAUUGUCCAGAGAAAGAGGCAUCUACUGAGUUUGAUGCAAAAUGAAGAAUUUCAAAGGAUGCUAUUCGUUUUAAGAUGGAUGGAAGUAUGUUCUACAUAAAUUUCUUACAUACAGCAUUUUGUGUAUCUUUUGUAAUAUAUAUCUGAGUGGGUUGAACUUUUUUUUUGUUUUUGAUCUCUGUGGCGGCUGAAUUCAUUAAGUAAAAAUGCGGUUACGGAACGGUGAUGCGUUUAUCGUAACACCUAAAUAUCGAUCAAAGCCAAAAGAUAUCCCUUGAUACAGCCAAAACGCAGUUAUUUUUACACCUUAACAAUGCGAGAAAUUUCAGUUCAUUGUUUUUCAAAAUCUUGACAACGCGGCUGAUACGAUGCGAUACGACCUUGCUGAUCUUAUAUGAUUUUGUUGAUGAAAAGAUAGGAAGAGAAGAUGCCUAAUUGAUGACUUUUUACAUGUUCCCUUUGGUGCUGUGCUGGUAUAGUCCUUUGUUAUCUUGUUGAAGGAUGAAAACAAGGUGGAUUUCAAAAGACCCAAGGUAACAUUCCUACAAUCGUUGUCCCUACAUCUUAUGCUCUAGUUCCCCCUUUAGAUGAACAUUUGGGGACAACUCUUGAAGGUUUUGGGCUUGUGACACAACUUUCACCGAAGAAGAGGUUCCAAGAGGAUAUAAUGUUUGAUAAUAAGGAAUCUGUGGUUGAAGCUGUUAGAUUGUAUCAUAUUCGUUGAAAUGUUGAGUAUAGAAUAAAGACUUCCAACCAAACUGUCAUUUCAUUGAAGUGUAAAAGGGGAUGUUUUUGGAAAUUACGGGCUAGUUUAAAUUCUUAUUCAUCUUCAUAGCACAUUGUAACGUAUAAGGGAAAGUGUGGGUUUUGUGUUUUGGGUAGUGACAAUGUUUUACCUAGACACUUUCCUUUGACAUCUUCAGUGAUUAACAAUUUGAUUAUAAACUGUAUUGCCCAAGACCUAUCAAUUAAGGUCUCUGUGAUUAACUACGUUGAUUUAUUAUCUACCACGUGGAAAAGCCAAAAACUCAGGUCAACACGUGAAAUUUCUCUAAAUUAAAUAUACAAUUUUUCUUAUUUU